rnacentral:rRNA from 1 species
ACCCUUUAAUGUUUGAUGUUCUAACGUGGACCCGUGAUCCGGGUUGCGGACAGUGUCUGGUGGGUAGUUUGACUGGGGCGGUCUCCUCCUAAAGAGUAACGGAGGAGCACGAAGGUUGGCUAAUCCUGGUCGGACAUCAGGAGGUUAGUGCAAUGGCAUAAGCCAGCUUGACUGCGAGCGUGACGGCGCGAGCAGGUGCGAAAGCAGGUCAUAGUGAUCCGGUGGUUCUGAAUGGAAGGGCCAUCGCUCAACGGAUAAAAGGUACUCCGGGGAUAACAGGCUGAUACCGCCCAAGAGUUCAUAUCGACGGCGGUGUUUGGCACCUCGAUGUCGGCUCAUCACAUCCUGGGGCUGAAGUAGGUCCCAAGGGUAUGGCUGUUCGCCAUUUAAAGUGGUACGCGAGCUGGGUUUAGAACGUCGUGAGACAGUUCGGUCCCUAUCUGCCGUGGGCGCUGGAGAACUGAGGGGGGCUGCUCCUAGUACGAGAGGACCGGAGUGGACGCAUCACUGGUGUUCGGGUUGUCAUGCCAAUGGCACUGCCCGGUAGCUAAAUGCGGAAGAGAUAAGUGCUGAAAGCAUCUAAGCACGAAACUUGCCCCGAGAUGAGUUCUCCCUGAGACUUUAGGUCUCCUGAAGGAACGUUGAAGACGACGACGUUGAUAGGCCGGGUGUGUAAGCGCAGCGAUGC